rnacentral:rRNA from 1 species
UCAUCACCCUGUGACAUACCUAAACGUUGCUUCGGCGGGAAUAGACGGCCCCGUAAAACGGGCCGCCCCCGCCAGAGGACCCCUAACUCUGUUUCUAUAAUGUUUCUUCUGAGUAAAACAAGCAAAUAAAUUAAAACUUUCAACAACGGAUCUCUUGGCUCUGGCAUCGAUGAAGAACGCAGCGAAAUGCGAUAAGUAAUGUGAAUUGCAGAAUUCAGUGAAUCAUCGAAUCUUUGAACGCACAUUGCGCCCGCCAGUAUUCUGGCGGGCAUGCCUGUUCGAGCGUCAUUACAACCCUCAGGCCCCCGGGCCUGGCGUUGGGGAUCGGCGGAGCCCCCCGUGGGCACACGCCGUCCCCCAAAUACAGUGGCGGUCCCGCCGCAGCUUCCAUCGCGUAGUAGCUAACACCUCGCGACUGGAGAGCGGCGCGGCCACGCCGUAAAACACCCAACUCUUCUGAAGUUGACCUCGAAUCAGGUAGGAAUACCCGCUGAACUUAAGCAUAUCAAUAAGCGGAGGAAACGGAGGAA